GGAGUUGUGCCUGAAGUUUAAGGGCCACUUUGAUAGAGUGUAACACGGGGGUUAAAGUCCCCCCAACUCCU
rnacentral:tRNA from 6 species